AAAAAGUUAGUUAAUAUAUAACUUAAAAUUGUCAAUUUUAAAUAACUAAUUUAUAGUACUUUUUU
rnacentral:tRNA from 1 species